GAUGAACGCUGGCGGCGUGCCUAAUACAUGCAAGUCGAGCGAACAGACGAGGAGCUUGCUCCUCUGACGUUAGCGGCGGACGGGUGAGUAACACGUGGAUAACCUACCCAUAAGACUGGGAUAACUUCGGGAAACCGGAGCUAAUACCGGAUAAUAUAUUGAACCGCAUGGUUCAAUAGUGAAAGACGGUUUUGCUGUCAAUUAUAGAUGGAUCCGCGCCGCAUUAGCUAGUUGGUAAGGUAACGGCUUACCAAGGCGACGAUGCGUAGCCGACCUGAGAGGGUGAUCGGCCACACUGGAACUGAGACACGGUCCAGACUCCUACGGGAGGCAGCAGUAGGGAAUCUUCCGCAAUGGGCGAAAGCCUGACGGAGCAACGCCGCGUGAGUGAUGAAGGUCUUCGGAUCGUAAAACUCUGUUAUUAGGGAAGAACAAAUGUGUAAGUAACUAUGCACGUCUUGACGGUACCUAAUCAGAAAGCCACGGCUAACUACGUG
rnacentral:rRNA from 1 species